CUAGAGAUCCCUCAGACCCUU
rnacentral:misc_RNA from 1 species